AUGGCUGCCUCAGCAGCGCUGUUCUCGCGCUUGCGGAGCGGGCUCCGACUCGGCUCACUGGGACUGUGCACGAGGUUGGCGACGCCGCCCCUCCGGGCCCCAGAUCAGCCCGCAGAGAUCGGGAGACGCGGGGGCACUAAGGCACAAGGGCCACAGCAGCAGCCAGGCUCAGAGGGUCCCAGCUAUGCCAAAAAAGUUGCGCUCUGGCUUGCUGGGCUGCUUGGAGCUGGUGGGACCGUGAGCGUCGUCUAUAUCUUUGGAAACAACCCAGUGGACGAAAAUGGUGCCAAGAUUCCUCAUGAGUUCCACAAUGAUCCAAUUCUGGUACAGUAGUUGCGCCGGACAUACAAAUAUUUCAAAGAUUAUAGACAGAUGAUCAUCAAGCCCAUCGGCCCUUGCCUUCUCCCAGACCCACUGCAGGAGCUGUACUACCAGCCACCCUACACGCUCGUUUUGGAGCUCACCGGCGUCCUCUUGCAUCCUGAGUGGUCACUGGCUGGAGGUUUAAGAAGCGCCCAGGCAUCGAGACCUUGUUCCAGCAGCUCACCCCUUUAUAUGAAAUUGUCAUCUUUACGUCAGAGACUGGCAUGACUACGUUUCCACUCAUUGAUAGCGUGGACCCCCACGGCUUCAUCUCCUACCGCCUAUUCCGGGAAGCCACAAGAUACAUGAAUGGACACCAUGUUAAGGACAUUUCAUGUCUGAAUCGCGACCCAGCUCGAGUAGUAGUUGUGGACUGCAAGAAGGAAGCCUUCCGCCUGCAGCCCUAUAAUAGCGUCGCCCUGCAGCCCUGGGACGGCAACCCUGAUGACCGGGUCUUGUUGGACCUGUCUGCCUUCCUCAAGACUAUUGCACUGAACGGUGUGGAGGACGUGUGAAACGUACUGGAGCACUACGCCCUGGAGGAUGAUCCGCUGGCAGCUUUCAAACAGCAGCAAAGCCGGCUAGAGCAGGAGGAGCAGCAGCGCCUGGCCGAGCUCUCCAAGUCCAAGAAGCAGAACCUCUUCCUCGGCUCCCUCAUCAGCCGCUUGUGGUCUCGCUCCAAACAGCCCUGAACUCCGGGCCUCCUCAAACUCAGUGCCGGGGUCCAGAGCCCCAGUGCUUCCAGACCAAAACUUGGGCCACCACUGUCCAAUAAAGUACAUCCCAGAUGCCACACCUGCUGUGUCCCGAGAGUCUCCAGAUGGGGGCAUCAGGAUGAGGUCCGGGACUCUCAGGUCACCAUCCCACAGUGGCUGAUUGGCUGCCAAGCACAGAGUAGGGGCUUUGUUGGAUCACAGCGGAUUUUUCACCCUGGUCUGGGAAUGUAAAAACCCUCGCUGUGU